GACGAACGCUGGCGGCGUGCCUAAUACAUGCAAGUCGAACGAAGCUUUUUUAACUGGUGCUUGCACCGACUUAAACAACUGAGUGGCGAACGGGUGAGUAACACGUGGGUAACCUGCCCCAAAGCGGGGGAUAACAUUUGGAAACAGAUGCUGAUACCGCAUAACCACAGAAACCACAUGGUCUCUGUGUCAAAGAUGGUUUCGGCUAUCACUUUGGGAUGGACCCGCGGCGUAUUAGCUAGUUGGUAAGGUAAUGGCUUACCAAGGCAAUGAUACGUAGCCGAACUGAGAGGUUGAUCGGCCACAUUGGGACUGAGACACGGCCCAAACUCCUACGGGAGGCAGCAGUAGGGAAUCUUCCACAAUGGACGAAAGUCUGAUGGAGCAACGCCGCGUGAGUGAAGAAGGUUUUCGGAUCGUAAAACUCUGUUGUCAGAGAAGAACGUGUGCGAGAGUAACUGUUCGUGCAGUGACGGUAUCUGGCCAGAAAGCCACGGCUAACUACGUGCCAGCCGCCGCGGUAA
rnacentral:rRNA from 1 species